rnacentral:rRNA from 1 species
UACGUAGGCAGCGAGCGUUGUUCGGAGUUACUGGGCGUAAAGGGUGUGUAGGCGGUUCUUUAAGUUUGGUGUGAAAUCUCCCGGCUCAACCGGGAGGGUGCGCCGAAUACUGAGGGACUAGAGUGCGGGAGAGGAAAGUGGAAUUCCUGGUGUAGCGGUGAAAUGCGUAGAUAUCAGGAGGAACACCGGUGGUGUAGACGGCUAUCUGGACCGUAACUGACGCUGAGGCACGAAAGCGUGGGUAGCAAACAGG